GCUGUAGUAGUGUAAUGGUUAUCAUUCUAGCCUUCCAAGCUUGAGAUCGGCGUUCGAUUCGCCGCUACAGCA
rnacentral:tRNA from 1 species